GCAGCCCUGGGAGUUGAGAGUGGCCCCUAACUGAACAGUGGCAGAGGAGGAGGGGUGCUUGCAAUGAAUUCUGCAACCUGAACGAGCUUGGUAACAGAUCUUCCCUCUUCAGAUCUCCAGAUGAGAAUGAAGCUAAACCAACCUCUCAGUUUUGGCCACAUCAGAUCCCAAGCAAAGGGCUGAGAUAAGCUGUGCCUGGUUUCCUGACCCACAGAAACUGUGAGAUACUCAAUAUGGUUGUUUAAGCUGCUAAAUGUGUGGAGCCGGAACACCCUAACUGGAUCUGAGACCACAUGCCCGGGCUCAACCAAGCUACCCCUGGUGGAUUUCACGGCAAAUGGAACAGAAGGUCCCAGACUGAAGCACAUUCAUCCAAACAGGGCAGAGUAAAGAGAAGCAUGGAGAAGUAGUAAGGAAUAGAGACCAGACAGCAUACACCUAUAAUACAACAGACUGUGCUGUGCUGAGGUCCCAGGGAACACCUAAGCCAGCAUCGGUGGAUACAAGUGCGUGGUGAUGAACCCGAGGAGAGGACAGGGGCACAUGUUCCAGGAAAGGUGAGAAAACUGUUUCUGGCAGAAAUGCCAACAUAGGUAAA